rnacentral:rRNA from 1 species
UGAGCAAUCUGCCCUUCUCAUCGGAAUAAGCGUUGGAAACGACGUCUAAUGCCGAAUACGACCUCCUUUCGCAUGAUCGGAGGUGGAAAGCUCCGGCGGAGAAGGAUGAGCUCGCGGCCUAUCAGCUUGUUGGUGAGGUAAUAGCUCACCAAGGCGAUGACGGGUAGCCGGCCUGAGAGGGUGACCGGCCACACGUGGGACUGAGACACCGGCCCAGACCUGUACGGGGAGG